GUAUCGUGUUACAAAUUUCAAAGAACCGGGGAUUCGAUAGGACACUUGCUUUUCUGUUCUGUGUAUCGAUUCCUGACUUUUAAAUCACUCGGGUACGGCAGUGAGCAUUUUAGCGUUGUAUCUGUCUACCAGGACCUGCGACAAAACGUUCAGAAGUUUGGUUAAACUUUGAGAAAAAAGAUGAUAGCUUUGCCACAUGCAAUACGUGUGGUAAAGAUAUUUCCUGAAAGGGAGGAAGUACCUCUUAUAUUAUGAAACGCGAAAUGCACCGUGUUUAAGUGUCUCAGCCUCGAGUCUUCCUGCUACAACGCACCAGAUAACGUUAGCUAUUGCAGCGUCUCAAACUCAGGAACAAAAUACAGAUAGAGAUGAAAAGACAAUCAUUUUUGUUUAAGUUACUUUAUUUUUUAAUGGUGCUAUUCACAAUUAAAUAUAUCCCGGAAGCCACAGGACAACGUGUUCCAGUAUAUUUUAAACGAUAUUAAUUUGAAUUAUUAAUCCAAUCACUUUUAAAAAAUGAAUUAAUUCAUUAACUUAUUUUAUUCACAAAUGAUUGUUUAGAUAAUGGACGAUCUAGCUACUGCAUGUUAUAUAUUUUAUGUUGUAUUUUUGUGUUAUACUUAAAUAGUUUGGGUUUGUAAAUGCUUCUGAUUAUUCCAUGAUGGAAGUGUUGUUUAUUUAAUUAUUUUUCAAAUUGUCACAGUUAACAGUUAUGUGGCUAGAAUAAGUGAAAACUGUUUUCUUUAAGUAUUUGAUAUUUUUUUCUCUCCCCCCAAAAUAAUCGAUAAGAACCGGAUUCUAUAAGCAGAACCGGAACCGGAAUCGCUAAAAUUAAAACGAUACCCAACCCUACUCAUUAUGGAUCCUCGAGCAAACGUCUAAUAUAGAAAACAAAAUCACCUUUUCAUAACAGUUUGAUCAUAGGCACGCAAGGCACUCCAUAUCACAAGAAAGAGAGGAGGCUGGCGCCACCUAUUGGUCAAACCAUUCAACGAAAUGUGCAUGUGUAGCCCUUGUGGUAUUUGGUAUGUUUCAGGGCUCAAAAACACCUUUCUCAAGUAUAUACUUAUGUGUGUCGACUGGCAUAGCUGAAAUUUAACACGGUUUACAAUUAUGUUAGAGCUUUCUAAACUGAAAACAGUUAGCAGCGACAUAUUUUAAAAAUCAUCAGUCCCUUUGUUUUGUCUCAAAAUGCGCAAAAUUUUAUUUUUGUAGGGCAUGUUUAAAAAUAACUUAAAUGGCCUAAUUUAUAAAGCCAGUCCUGGUUUAAGAUAACCCCUGUCCGGGAAACCACCCCCUUAAGUACUAUGUAGAUGAGGCAAUGCUUAAAUUAGUGUUUUUUAUUUAUCUUUGUGUAUUGCAGACACAAGGAUCAAACAUCUCUAUAGUUCACACCUGCUAUCUGUCAGGUUACACUGACGUCAUAAAGCUGGGCAGUGUGUUUGAUACUCCAUGUGUUAACAAACAAACUCCUUAUAAACCUGAUGACAAGCUCCAAAUGAAGGGCACUGGAAACUUCUAUCAUUGCCAGGGAAAUAUUUCUCAUCUCUUCUCUUUUAACAACUGCUCUUAUUCCAAAUGCUCUUUUAAUGCAUUCCAGCCCAACAUUACAGGAAACUUUAUGGUAGGAGAGUUCAUACUGCAUAUAAGUAAAACAGUUACACAAUCACUUUUAAUUUGAUUGCUUUGUUCCAAAUUUUCUUUUUACUCGUAAAACAUUCUUUCCCUAGGAAACAUUAAUAAAAUAUUUUGGGUGUAAUACUGUAUGCUAAAUGUUUAUGAUGCUGUGCAUUUGCCGUAAACGCUUAUUUUAACCACUUGAUUAAUAAUUGUGAUGUACGUAAACGCACUUUCUCUCGCACAGCCAUUUGCUGCUUUCUUCUACACUAUAGAGUUCUUACAGAAAGCUACAGGCAUCACCAUCACCUCCCCAGCACACAUAGAGAAGGCUGCGAGUUAUGUCUGUAACAUGAGUUUUCCGGAGGUACCUCCUCAUUUGUUGAAGUCUGCAAUGACUUCUAUGUCCUAGCAAUUUACUAGAAGAUCCAUGACAUUCACAGAUCCUGGAUUAAAACAAUAAAAAAUAAAAGUUUUUAAUUCAAAUGUGAUUAAAUUUGAGAUUUCCUCCAAGGGGAGAGAGUUAAUAAGAGAAAUGGUUACAGCUGAGAAAAAUGUUCAUCAAAUAAACUCUUGCUUUACAUUCUCUCCUCCAGAUGCAAAUUAAGUUUCCUGAUGAGGGGAAAUAUUUGAUGGACUACUGUGCAGAUUCUGUCUUUGUCCACAUGCUCCUUAUCAGUGGUUAUGGCUUUAAUAAUCUCUCUUUCUCACACAUCUUCUUUCAGGAGGAAGUAAGUCCCGAAUAAGCCUUCAAGGAUGAAUACACCUCUGUUGGCUGGUCCCUUCGCUAUAUGUUAAGUUUAAGCACCUUUCUUCUAGCUGAAAAGGUGGCACUGAGAAAAGCACUACGCCAAGAUGCCUGCAGCGCUGCAAUUUUUUAAAUCUUUUCGGGCCUUUUUUUGCAUCUUUCUUUUGUCUUGUUAGAACCUACUACAAAAAUACCACUAAAGCGCCAGUCAGCGGAGUGUAGCGUACAGCACGAGGUCGGAACCUUUCUGAAGCGGAAC